rnacentral:rRNA from 1 species
UACGGAGGGUGCGAGCGUUAAUCGGAAUUACUGGGCGUAAAGGGUGCGUAGGUGGUUAAUUAAGUUAUCUGUGGAAUCCCUGGGCUCAACCUGGGCAGGUCAGAUAAAACUGUUUAACUCGAGUAUGGGAGAGGGUAGUGGAAUUUCCGGUGUAGCGGUGAAAUGCGUAGAGAUCGGAAGGAACACCAGUGGCGAAGGCGGCUACCUGGCCUAAUACUGACACUGAGGCACGAAAGCGUGGGGAGCAAACAGG